rnacentral:tRNA from 1 species
AGCUCAGUGGUAGAACAUGUGCUUAGCAUGCACAAGACCCUGGGUUCAAUCCCAG